CCUACGGGCGGCUGCAGUGGGGAAUAUUGCACAAUGGGGGAAACCCUGAUGCAGCACCGCCGCGUGAAGGAAGACGGUUUUCGGAUUGUAAACUUCUAUCAAUAGGGAAGAAAGAAAUGACGGUACCUAAAUAAGAAGCCCCGGCUAACUACGUGCCAGAAGCCGCGGUAAUACGUAGGGGGCAAGCGUUAUCCGGAAUUACUGGGUGUAAAGGGAGAGUAGGCGGCAAGGUAAGCGAUAUGUGAAAGCCUUAAGCUUAACUUAAAGAUGGCAUAACGAAGUAUCUAGCUAGUGUACAGGAGAGGAAAGCGGAAUUCCUAGUGUAGCGGUGAAAUGCGUAGAUAUUAGGAAGAACACCAGUGGCGAAGGCGGCGUUCUGGACUGAAACUGACGCUGAGGCUCGAAAGCGUGGGGAGCGAACAGGAUUAGAUACCCUUGUAGUC
rnacentral:rRNA from 1 species